CAAAAACCUCCUCAUCUCUGUGGUUUUCUUAAACUUCGUAAUGGUUAUGUAAUGGAAUUUGAUCCUUUUUGGAAUGAGGGCUUGUUGUAAAAUGUCUUGUGGAAGUUUUGUAUUGGUCUUUGUUCGACUCCCUUCUAUUUGUUUGGUAGAUACCUUCUCUUAAGACUCUACCAUGGGGAUAGGUAUAACUGUCUCUCCUUCUACAUGAAUCUUUUCUAUAUCUGAAGUCAUC